CUCGUACCUUUUGCAUCAUGAUUUAGCUAGUAAAAUUUAAGCGAAGAGCACUUUAGUUUAAAACCCCGAAACUAGAUGAGCUACUCCGAGGCAGCCUACAAAUAGGGCAAACCCGUCUCUGUGGCAAAAGAGUGGGGAGAACUCCGAGUAGAGGUGACAAACCUACCGAAUCUAGUUAUAGCUGGUUGCUUGAGAAUUGGAUAGAAGUUCAGCCUCACGGCUUCUCCCUUCACCACCUUUAUACCUAAAGACAACCAGAGAAACCAUUGAGAGUUAAUCAAAGGAGGUACAGCUCCUUUGAUAAAAGACACAACUUUUUAAGCAGGGUAAAGAUCAUAAUUUGACAAGGCUAAAUGUCCUGGUGGGCCUAAGAGCAGCCAUCCAUUCAGAAAGCGUUAAAGCUUAAACAUAUCCGCCUCCCCCUAUUAUAACGAUAAUUUUAUCUUAACCCCCUAACCCAUACCAAGCCGUCCCAUGCCCCCAUGGGAGCGAUUAUGCUAAAAUGAGUAAUAAGAGAGCACGACUCUCUCCCCGCACACGUGUAUCUCGGAACGGACCCUCCACCGAGAAUUAACGGCCCCAAUCAAAGAGGGUAAUGAAUAACGAAAGAGAGAACAAGAAAAACACUCAACCUCCAACCGUUGACCCCACACUGGUGUGCCCUAUGGGAAAGACUAAAAGAAAAAGAAGGAACUCGGCAAACACAUCAAGCCUCGCCUGUUUACCAAAAACAUCGCCUCUUGCAAAAUCAACGAAUAAGAGGUCCCGCCUGCCCUGUGACAUAUAUGUUUAACGGCCGCGGUAUUUUGACCGUGCGAAGGUAGCGCAAUCACUUGUCCUUUAAAUGGGGACCUGUAUGAAUGGCACGACGAGGGCUUAACUGUCUCCUUUUUCAGGUCAAUGAAAUUGAUCUCCCCGUGCAGAAGCGGGGAUAUUAACAUAAGACGAGAAGACCCUAUGGAGCUUUAGACACUAAAGCAGACCACGUUAAUCAUACCCAAUCAAGGGAUUAAACUAUAUGGCCCCUGCCCUACUGUCUUUGGUUGGGGCGACCGCGGGGGAAUACAAAGCCCCCAUGUGGAACGGGAAUACCCUUCCUACAGCUGAGAGUUUCCACUCUAAUAACCAGAAUAUCUGACCUAUAAGAUCCGGCAAAGCCGAUCAACGGACCGAGUUACCCUAGGGAUAACAGCGCAAUCCCCUUUUAGAGCCCAUAUCGACAAGGGGGUUUACGACCUCGAUGUUGGAUCAGGACAUCCUAAUGGUGC
rnacentral:rRNA from 1 species